AUGGAUGACAACCACUGCCCAAUUCUUAGUUGGAAUGUGCGGGGGUUGAACAUGCCAGCCAAACGUGAUGAUGUGUGCGAAACUGCGGCAGCGCAUCGACCAGCAAUCCUGUGCCUCCAAGAAACCAAGAUCGAUGUAUGGUCGCCGGCCCUAGUCAAGGAUGUAGGAGGAGCGAGGCUUGCUGACUACAUAGUCCUCCCUGCGAUAGGCACCAGGGGAGGGAUCGCAGUUCUGUGGGAUAAGCAGAUCGUCUCGAUCGUCUCUCACGCUGUAGGAGAGUUUGCCAUAACUGCAAAAGUUACCGUCCUGCGCACGGCGACCACGUUCUGGCUAACCACAGUCUACGGGCCAGCGGACGAGGCUCGGAAAGAUGAUUUUCUAAGAGAGUUAGCUAGCUCUGCGCCGCCCUCGACUGAGCCGUGGCUGCUUACGGGAGAUUUUAACAUAAUCUAUGAGGCGGGGGAUAAAAACAACUUCAACCUAAAUAGGCGCAUUAUGGGUAGGUUUAGAGCUGCGAUCGACUCGGCUUGCCUGCGGGAGAUU
rnacentral:rRNA from 1 species